GGGGGCGACUUGGAUUCGACGUGGGUCGCGAAACUCCAGGUGCAUGUCGAGGUGCAGAGUACCUCGUAAAACCAUCUGCAAAACCUAUAGUUGCCAACGACGACAACUACGCACUAGCUGCUUAAAAACCAGUUUUAGUGCCUUUCGCCCGGUGCGUGCCUGUGCGCUCGGAUCACGAGAGUCAUAUUCACAGGAUCGCGUGGAUGCACGUUCGGGGCUGAAGCGUUAAACCUUUUCCGGACUGGUCG
rnacentral:tmRNA from 1 species